UACGAAGGGGGCUAGCGUUGCUCGGAAUCACUGGGCGUAAAGCGCACGUAGGCGGAUCUUUAAGUCAGGGGUGAAAUCCUGGAGCUCAACUCCAGAACUGCCUUUGAUACUGGGGAUCUCGAGUCCGGGAGAGGUGAGUGGAACUCCGAGUGUAGAGGUGAAAUUCGUAGAUAUUCGGAAGAACACCAGUGGCGAAGGCGGCUCACUGGCCCGGUACUGACGCUGAGGUGCGAAAGCGUGGGGAGCAAACGGG
rnacentral:rRNA from 1 species